rnacentral:rRNA from 1 species
GACGAACGCUGGCGGCGUGCUUAACACAUGCAAGUCGAACGGAAAGGCCCUGCUUUUGUGGGGUGCUCGAGUGGCGAACGGGUGAGUAACACGUGAGUAACCUGCCCUUGACUUUGGGAUAACUUCAGGAAACUGGGGCUAAUACCGGAUAGGAGCUCCUGCUGCAUGGUGGGGGUUGGAAAGUUUCGGCGGUUGGGGAUGGACUCGCGGCUUAUCAGCUUGUUGGUGGGGUAGUGGCUUACCAAGGCUUUGACGGGUAGCCGGCCUGAGAGGGUGACCGGCCACAUUGGGACUGAGAUACGGCCCAGACUCCUACGGGAGGCAGCAGGGGGGAAGAUUGAACAAUGGGCGGAAGCCUGAUGAAGCAACGCCGCGGGCGGGAUGACGGCCUUCGGGUUGUAAACCGCUUUCGCCUGUGACGAAGCGUGAGUGACGGUAAGGGGUAAAGAAGCACCGGCUAACUACGUGC